rnacentral:rRNA from 1 species
AGUAACACGUAAAUGACUUGCCUCUGACACAGGGACAACCGUUCGAAAGGACGGCUAAUACCUGAUAAGCCCACGUCUUUGGAGAUGAGGGAAAAGGGUUGGGACCUUACGAGGCCAACCGGUUGGAGAGAGGUUUGCGGCCCAUCAGGUAGUUGGCGGGGUAACGGCCCACCAAGCCUAAGACGGGUAGCUGGUCUGAGAGGAUGAUCAGCCACACUGGAACUGAGACACGGUCCAG